UGUGAAACACAACGUAGGAGGUCUCUC
rnacentral:piRNA from 1 species